UGAACGCUGGCGGCGUGCCUAACACAUGCAAGUCGAACGAAGCACCUUAUCCGACGAAGUGGAGUGCUUGCACAAAGCGGAGUCAACCAAGGUGACUUAGUGGCGGACGGGUGAGUAACGCGUGGGUAACCUGCCGUAUACAGGGGGAUAACAGUUAGAAAUGACUGCUAAUACCGCAUAAGCGCACAGUAUCGCAUGAUACAGUGUGAAAAAGCCGAGACGGUAUACGAUGGACCCGCGUCUGAUUAGCCAGUUGGCAGGGUAACGGCCUACCAAAGCAACGAUCAGUAGCCGGCCUGAGAGGGUGAACGGCCACAUUGGGACUGAGACACGGCCCAAACUCCUACGGGAGGCAGCAGUGGGGGAUAUUGCACAAUGGGGGAAACCCUGAUGCAAGCGACGCCGCGUGAGCGAAGAAGUAUUUCGGUAUGUAAAGCUCUAUCAGCAGGGAAGAAAAUGACGGUACCUGACUAAGAAGCUCCGGCUAAAUACGUGCCAGCCGCGGC
rnacentral:rRNA from 1 species